GACGAACGCUGGCGGCAUGCCUAAUACAUGCAAGUCGAGCGAACAGAUGAAGUGCUUGCACUUCUGACGUUAGCGGCGAACGGGUGAGUAACACGUAAGGAAUCUACCUAUAAGCGGGGGAUAACAUUCGGAAACGGGUGCUAAUACCGCAUAAUAUCUUCUUCCGCAUGGAAGAAGAUUGAAAGACGGCUCUGCUGUCACUUAUAGAUGACCUUGCGGUGCAUUAGUUAGUUGGUGGGGUAACGGCCUACCAAGACGAUGAUGCAUAGCUGACCGGAGAUGGUGAUCGGCCACAUUGGGACUGAGACACGGCCCAAACUCCUACGGGAGGCAGCAGUAGGGAAUCUUCCGCAAUGGGCGAAAGCCUGACGGAGCAAUGCCGCGUGAGUGAAGAAGGCCUUCGGGUCGUAAAACUCCGUUAUAAGAGAAGAACAAAUUGUAGAGUAACUGCUACAGUCUUGACGGUAUCUUAUCAGAAAGCCACGGCUAACUACGUGCCAGCCGCCGCGGUAA
rnacentral:rRNA from 1 species